rnacentral:rRNA from 1 species
AUUGAACGCUGGCGGCAUGCUUUACACAUGCAAGUCGAACGGUAACAGGCCGCAAGGUGCUGACGAGUGGCGAACGGGUGAGUAAUGCAUCGGAACGUGCCCAGUCGUGGGGGAUAACUACUCGAAAGAGUAGCUAAUACCGCAUACGAUCUAUGGAUGAAAGCGGGGGACCGUAAGGCCUCGCGCGAUUGGAGCGGCCGAUGUCAGAUUAGGUAGUUGGUGGGGUAAAGGCUCACCAAGCCAACGAUCUGUAGCUGGUCUGAGAGGACGACCAGCCACACGGGGACGGAGACCCGCCCCAGCCCCCGAGGGGGGGCGGAGGGGGGAAUUUUGGGACAAGGGGGGCAGGCUUACCCCAGCAUUCCGGCGGGCAGAAAGAGGGCCUCGGGUUUUAAAACUGUUUUUGUGCGAAACAAAACGGUUCUGGUUAAUACCCGGGGAUAAGGAGGUAACCGAAAAAAAAAGCCCCGGCUAACUAGGUG